GGCUCGGUGGCUUAGUUGGUAAAGCACUCGUCUACCGUACAAGGGUCGUGAGUUCAAAUCUCACCUGAGCUG
rnacentral:tRNA from 1 species